rnacentral:rRNA from 1 species
GGCGAAUAUUGCACAAUGGGCGCAAGCCUGAUGCAGCCAUGCCGCGUGUGUGAAGAAGGCCUUCGGGUUGUAAAGCACUUUCAGUCGUGAGGAAGGUUUAUGCGUUAAUAGCGUAUAGAUUUGACGUUAGCGACAGAAGAAGCACCGGCUAACUCCGUGCCAGCAGCCGCGGUAAUA